ACUCUUCAACCCACCGGUUCCUUGUUGAACUGCUGUGGUGUUUGGAUUUUGAACGCUGCCAUGUAAUUAGCUCGUUCGUAAUACAUUAGCAUCUCAAUUUCGUAAUCGGAUUGACUCAGCGUAAUAGACUAUUCGCUGAGGACACUCUUUUCAGAGUGGCCGAGACAUGAAGAGUUAGAAGCUUCAAACCCAUCUAGUCAUUUUUUAAGAU
rnacentral:misc_RNA from 1 species